rnacentral:rRNA from 1 species
GAUCCUGGCUCAGGAUGAACGCUGACAGAAUGCUUAACACAUGCAAGUCUUUGGCGAAGCUGUGCUUGCACAGCCUAGCCAAGGCGGACGGGUGAGUAACGCGUAAGGAACUUGCCCUGCAGUCAGGGAUAACAGACGGAAACGACUGAUAAGACCUGGUAAAGUCAGGCGGACUCAUGUCCAGCCUGAUGAAAAGNGAUGCUGCAGGAGAGCCUUGCCG